rnacentral:Y_RNA from 1 species
GGCUGGUCCGAGUGCAGUGGUGUUUACAGUUAAUUGAUCACAGCCAGUUACAGAUUUCUUUGUUCCUUCUCUACUCCCACGGCUUUGCUUGACUAGCCUUAA